UACGUAGGGGGCAAGCGUUGUCCGGAUUCAUUGGGCGUAAAGAGCGUGUAGGCGGCCAGGUAGGUCGGUUGUGAAAACUGGAGGCUCAACCUUCAGAGGUCGACCGAAACCAUCUGGCUAGAGUCCGGGAGAGGAGAGUGGAAUUCCUGGUGUAGCGGUGAAAUGCGCAGAUAUCGGGAGGAACACCGGUGGCGAAGGCGGUUCUCUGGGCCUGUACUGACGCUGAGGAGCGAAAGCGUGGGGAGCGAACAGG
rnacentral:rRNA from 1 species